rnacentral:rRNA from 1 species
UACAGAGGUCCCAAGCGUUGUUCGGAUUCAUUGGGCGUAAAGGGUGCGUAGGCGGCGCGGUAAGUCGGGUGUGAAAUCUCGGAGCUUAACUCCGAAACUGCAUUCGAUACUGCCGUGCUUGAGGACUGGAGAGGAGACUGGAAUUUACGGUGUAGCGGUGAAAUGCGUAGAUAUCGUGAAGGAAGACCAGUGGCGAAGGCGGGUCUCUGGACAGUUCCUGACGUGAGGCACGAAGGCCAGGGGAGCAAACGGG